UGAGCUCAUUAGUGGUCUUCCGGUGACAUCUAGUGGUUAUAAUUGCAAUUUUUUAUUCAACACUGGGUUUUGAAGCUUUAUAAAUAUUACAGUGUUCUUUUUUACCUAAUCUCUGUUAAAUUUUGCAUGAUUGUUUAGAAAAAAUACAGAUCUAAUGCAUGUGUGAUUAUAUUACCCCUUUUUUUUGCAGUUUAAUGCCAUUCACAACAGAAAUCUUUUGUUUUUUAGGCCAUUUUAACUGUUAUAGCACCAGCUAUUUUCUGAUCUUAAUGAAACUUUGCAUGCUUGGUGGGUCAUCUUUCACAUGUUAUAACCAAGUUUCAUAAAGUUUUGAGUUUUUGUUUCAGUUUUAUAGGCUUUAGGUUACAUGUGGCCACGGCCCUUUCCUAAAUGACCUCUUAUAGCUAACCAAAGGACAAAAUGCAACAUAUUUUUGAAAAUUAUUGAUCUAGAGAGUCCACAGAAUAUUAUUGCAGUGGUUUGAUCAAGACUGAACAAAAAACCAGGUGACCCAAAACAUUCAAAUUCGUGGACCAAUUUUACGAAAAAGGCUAUAACUCGGGAACAAAAUGAGAUAUCUUCACCAAACUCAGAACUCAUAUGCAUGAACAAAAACUUUAGUCAAAUUAUUAUUUUUUUUUCCAUAUCUGCCACUUGGUGGCGCUACAGGAUGAAAAAAAAAUCAAAUGGCUAUAACUAAGCAACCGUUGAUCCAAUCAACUUGAAAAUUGAUAUGGCCCAAUGUGGCACAAGUGCUCUAUGAGGAAUUUCACUUAUCUUAAAAAACAUGGCCGCCAUUGGCCAAACAACUUUAAGCACCUAUUUGACAAGGUUAAUGGAAGUCGAUCGGAACGAAACUCGGUGGGCAUGUUCGACUCAUUGCCCUAAAGGUCUGUAAGUAUUUUGAAAGAAAUUGCCCACAACAUUGUCACCUCCCACAGAACACAACAGAGCGAUUUGAUUACAGCGCCACCUAUUUUCCAAAAAUAAUAAUGCAUCAUUUUACUGGAGUUUUACUGGCUGUUUCAAUUACACUCUUCCAAUAAUUGCUUUUCUUACUCGUUGCAUUUGGUCUGAUGCUCCAUGCCAUGCUUAGCUCCUCGCUGUGGAACUUUUAUUAACGAUUUUCAGCCAUUUCAAUUACAAUCAUGCAAUUAUUAAUUUCAUUAUUCAUUGUUGCAUUUGGUCUGCUUAGCUCCUGAUGUUGCCGCUGGAAUGCUUGGCCCCGUGAUUGCUGCUUGCAGCUAUAUUUAGGGGCCAAGCACCGAAGGUGCGAAGGCACCUAUUGUGUUUGUUGGCGUUAUUAGGGGCCAAGCACCGAAGGUGCGUAGGCACCUAUUGUUUUCGUUGGCGUUAUUAUUAGGGGCCAAGCACCGAAGGUGCGUAGGCACCUAUUGUUUCCGUUGGCGUUAUUAGGGGCCAAGCACCGAAGGUGCGUAGGCACCUAUUGUUUUCGUUGGCGUUAUUAUUAGGGGCCAAGCACCGAAGGUGCGUAGGCACCUAUUGUUUUCGUUGGCGUUAUUAUUAUUAUUCUUCUUCUUCUUCCGCCGCAAGUCUAUGGCAGCCCAUAGAACCGUUUGCGGGAAAGUUGUAUAAUUUGGCACAUUGAUAGAGGACA